UGGGGAAUUUUGGACAAUGGGGGAAACCCUGAUCCAGCCAUCCCGCGUGUGCGAUGAAGGCCUUCGGGUUGUAAAGCACUUUUGGCAGGAAAGAAACGUCGCGGGUUAAUACCCCGCGAAACUGACGGUACCUGCAGAAUAAGCACCGGCUAACUACGUGCCAGCAGCCGCGGUAAUACGUAGGGUGCAAGCGUUAAUCGGAAUUACUGGGCGUAAAGCGUGCGCAGGCGGUUCGGAAAGAAAGAUGUGAAAUCCCAGAGCUUAACUUUGGAACUGCAUUUUUAACUACCGGGCUAGAGUGUGUCAGAGGGAGGUGGAACUCCGCGUGUAGCAGUGAAAUGCGUAGAUAUGCGGAGGAACACCGAUGGCGAAGGCAGCCUCCUGGGAUAACACUGACGCUCAUGCACGAAAGCGUGGGGGAGCAAACAGGAUUAGAUACCCUGGUAGUCCACGCCCUAAACGAUGUCAACUAGCUGUUGGGGCCUUCGGGCCUUGGUAGCGCAGCUAACGCGUGAAGUUGACCGCCUGGGGAGUACGGUCGCAAGNUUAAAACUCAAAUGAAUUGACGGGGUCGAUA
rnacentral:rRNA from 1 species